AUUUCCUUUGCACUGCCUAGUAAAUUUCCUUUUUCCUACUCCAACCAUCCGCAAGGCUUAAAAACUUCAAACUCAGAAAAAAAUUGGGGUUUCUAAAUUCACUGUUGAGUGCUGUGGAUUACUUUUGGAAAGGCUUUUCGGAGCGCUUCUGAAUUUUCAGAUUCUCUAACUAUCCCUAACGGUGCCUGGAUGUGUGUCUGAGAAAAGGCAGCAGACUCGGAGAGGUUGAAGGGUCGGGUCAAAGCAAAAGAUGCGUUUGUGAAUGUCAGACAUUUGGAGGCUCUUCAGUGGCUCCUUAGCAUCAGGGAUGCCAGGCAGUCCCAGUGGAAGCGAAGAGAUACUCGGCAAGUGGCUGCUGGUAAUGGGACGCAAAUGUUGACUUGAUUUGUGGGACAUCCACGCUGAGAACUGAGUGCUCACGUAACUCAAAUGGGGGUAAUUUGGUUUGUUCCACUAUAUGUUUAUCUUCAAUAAAAUACCUACUGUCUGUGCACUGUGAGUAAGAUUUCUUCCAGCAAUGGUUAGGUUUGCGGAGAUUGGAAAGCAAUGGCCGGU
rnacentral:lncRNA from 1 species